UAAUGGGCGCAGCCUGAUCCAGCCAUGCCGCGUGAGUGAUGAAGGCCUUAGGGUUGUAAAGCUCUUUUAUCCGGGACGAUAAUGACGGUACCGGAGGAAUAAGCCCCGGCUAACUUCGUGCCAGCAGCCGCGAUAAUGUGC
rnacentral:rRNA from 1 species